rnacentral:rRNA from 1 species
ACGAACGCUGGCGGCGUGGAUAAGACAUGCAAGUCGAACGAGAGAAUUGCUAGCUUGCUAAUAAUUCUCUAGUGGCGCACGGGUGAGUAACACGUGAGUAACCUGCCCCCGAGAGCGGGAUAGCCCUGGGAAACUGGGAUUAAUACCGCAUAGUAUCGAAAGAUUAAAGCAGCAAUGCGCUUGGGGAUGGGCUCGCGGCCUAUUAGUUAGUUGGUGAGGUAACGGCUCACCAAGGCGAUGACGGGUAGCCGGUCUGAGAGGAUGUCCGGCCACACUGGAACUGAGACACGGUCCAGACACCUACGGGUGGCAGCAGUCGAGAAUCAUUCACAAUGGGGGAAACCCUGAUGGUGCGACGCCGCGUGGGGGAAUGAAGGUCUUCGGAUUGUAAACCCCUGUCAUGUGGGAGCAAAUUAAAAAGAUAGUACCACAAGAGGAAGAGACGGCUAACUCUGUGCCAGCAGCCGCGGUAAUACAGAGGUCUCAAGCGUUGUUCGGAAUCACUGGGCGUAAAGCGUGCGUAGGCUGUUUCGUAAGUCGUGUGUGAAAGGCGCGGGCUCAACCCGCGGACGGCACAUGAUACUGCGAGACUAGAGUAAUGGAGGGGGAACCGGAAUUCUCGGUGUAGCAGUGAAAUGCGUAGAUAUCGAGAGGAACACUCGUGGCGAAGGCGGGUUCCUGGACAUUAACUGACGCUGAGGCACGAAGGCCAGGGGAGCGAAAGGGAUUAGAUACCCCUGUAGUCCUGGCAGUAAACGGUGCACGCUUGGUGUGCGGGGAAUCGACCCCCUGCGUGCCGGAGCUAACGCGUUAAGCGUGCCGCCUGGGGAGUACGGUCGCAAGAUUAAAACUCAAAGAAAUUGACGGGGACCCGCACAAGCGGUGGAGUAUGUGGCUUAAUUCGAUGCAACGCGAAGAACCUUACCUGGGCUUGACAUGUAAUGAACAACAUGUGAAAGCAUGCGACUCUUCGGAGGCGUUACACAGGUGCUGCAUGGCCGUCGUCAGCUCGUGUCGUGAGAUGUUUGGUUAAGUCCAGCAACGAGCGCAACCCCUGUUGCCAGUUACCAGCACGUGAAGGUGGGGACUCUGGCGAGACUGCCCAGAUCAACUGGGAGGAAGGUGGGGACGACGUCAGGUCAGUAUGGCCCUUAUGCCCAGGGCUGCACACGUACUACAAUGCCCAGUACAGAGGGGGCCGAAGCCGCGAGGCGGAGGAAAUCCUGAAAACUGGGCCCAGUUCGGACUGUAGGCUGCAACCCGCCUACACGAAGCCGGAAUCGCUAGUAAUGGCGCAUCAGCUACGGCGCCGUGAAUACGUUCCCGGGUCUUGUACACACCGCCCGUCACACCAUGGGAGUCGAAAAUGCCCGAAGUCGGUGACCUAACGUAAGAAGGAGCCGCCGAAGGCAGGUUUGAUAACUGGGGUG